ensembl:lncRNA
ACUGUACCUAUCUGCCAUAUCUCUUCUAUAAAAUUUCUUCAGAUGGAAUUUGCUACAUCAGCUAUUUCAAGUCAAAUCCUCUUAAGGUCAAAUUUUCCACCUCAGUGAUCUGUUAAGAAAUGUUUUGGGUGUAAAGAAGUCAGAACUGGUACUUGAAUAAAUCCUGAACACCUAUUGAGGGUUGUGAAUGAGCCCAGGGCUCCUGCUAUUCCACUUCUCCCCAUUUCCUUAUAGUCCCUUAGAGCAGUGACCCUUCCAGUUCCACCAGGGAAAGAUAUCCAGUGAAUCAUUAAUCUCAGGAAGCCUUUUUCUGGUGGUGUUUCAGAUGGCAGUCUUACAAGAACUCAAGGGUAGCUCUAUUAUUGUUAUGGCCCAGGCUUUUCUGGAGCUAGAGGGAAUAAGAUGUUGAUUCUCAUCCCAGUUUUACAGAGGUAUUAUAGGCUAUAUUAGGAGUCUCUCAUCUUCUUUAAUCAAAGAAUUGACAAACUGUUAAAAAAGCAGCAGUCCAUCUUAUGAAACACAAAUUGAGUGAUUUUUGUUUCCAAACAAAUGAAAAAUAGUUAAUUGUUUGAAUUUGUUCAUUUACUACCUUUAUCUUCCCUCAUUUAGAACAUUUCCUUUCCCACAUCAGUGGAAAUGUGCCUGAGUGAGAAGUCAGGUUUUUCAGCUAAUGAUGGUGAUGCUACUUGAAGUUGCUCGAUGGGCCACAUCCUAACACCUAAGCCUAUGUGCUACAUAUAGUGAAAUACUUCUUUUAUGAAAAGCCAUUUAAAAACUCUGACAAAUUUAACUUCUCAGAAGUUUAGGAGUUAAUCUAAAUUUCUUUUAAACUCAAUGAUAUGUAUAUACAUGCCUAUUACAAAUCCACAGUGUCUGUUUCUACAAUUUCUAGACUAAAUACUUACAGGGAGAAGGAAAUUAACUCUGAACCAGCGUGAUCUGUUUUAUUUUUGUUUUACUUGGAUGACAGAUUUCUUCUGCUUUUCCAACAAUUGUUUCAUAACUAUUUUUUCCUGACCCCAAAAUCACACACACACAAAAAUCUGUUCUAACAACAUGUAUUUCAACCCAACAUUGAACUGAAAGACAUGAAGAUAUCAGGCUUUGGCUAGAUGAUAAACCUAGAUAGACAGCCAGCUCACUGCACAGAAAUGAAGGAAAGGAAGAUUUGGAUCAGGAUUUCUUAGGGCAUCAUUCAGUACACCAUCUGCAGCACAAAAAGGUAUAACCACCUCGUACUGGGCUAAGUCUGGGGGGGGGGAGGAAGCAUAAAUAGGAAUCUAAGCGCGUGGAAAGCUGUGUCCCUUUGGGCCAGAUCUGUAGUAGGUAGUCAUCAGCAUAAAUCUGCUUUUUAUUCACUCUCCGGAAGGCCUAAUUUGAUCACUCUGUAGCACUGCUCUUAGUGCUAACAUCGGGAAGCAUAUUUUAUAGAAAAGCUCAUCAGUUCCAGAAUCUGCAGAACAAAGUUGAUAAAGUGCAGUACUGCAGCAGUUGCAACAUACCGAUUCUUCUAACCGCGGAAGAGCCGCACCCCGCGGCCGUGACAAAGACAAGCACAUACUUUCAUGUUGCCACUUGUAGACCAAGCUAAUUGCAAAGCGUCCUGCAAUCCUCACUGUGAUGAAUUCAUUAACCUGAAAGACCAACAAAGGAGACUUACUAAUUCCACCGUGUUUUCACAUUUAUGAUGGAUGGAAGAGGCAGAGUGAAGUCUCAGCAGGUUAGUUAUCCAAGACAGUUGGUCAUGAGUUACUCUACAAACAAGUCUCAGUGCUGUCACUCUCCAUGUGAAUCUUGCAAAGUUACCUUCUGGUACGUGAGCUGUGGGUAGAGAUGAUAACUCCCAGCCCUUUAUCUGGAUGACACAUGCCCAGAGCAAACAUUCUGAGACUGUGCAUGAGUUGGAAGGUGAUGCUGUGUAGCAGAAAGGCACGAGAAACUUUCAGAACCACUCAGGAAAAUGUGUCUACUCUUCUAAGGCAGAGAAGCAGUGGAGUCACAGACAAGGAUAGACUCAGGAGAAGCCAGUCUGUGCUUGCCCUGUAACUGCUGUUGUUAGUGAGAGUAGGCAGUGUUUGGGCUGCUCAGUCACAAGAAAAAGAUUAGCAUUUUGAUGCAUACGAUGUAAUUUAUUGAAGUAAUAGUCACUGUAGCUUUUAGCAUUGCCUGCACACACAGCCCAUGAAAAAUGACCCGGUGACACCAAGCAGGGCACUUAGAACCACUUUUCCUAUCUUCUAUUUAAUCCAGUUUGCAUCACCUGUUUCCAGUCUCUGACACUCCUUCUUAUUCAAAGUAAGAAGUGUGUUGCAGAUACUAAUGGCUUUACUGAACUUGCAUUCGUUUUCAUGUGACUCUUGAAAUACAUCCAUUUGCUACAGCACAUAAUUCACAGCAACAUUCCAUAAUCUGUACUUGAUAUUUCAAACUGUUUCAAUAGUUAUCUGACAUAAUCUUUACAGAGUCUAUCGAAGUCAAAACUGCAGAUAAAGCAUAUUGCAGGCAUCUCAAACUCUUGCAGACCUUAGAGAGUAAACAGAGGUCAGUAUAUAGAACAUAUCAAACCCAAAGAAGAGUGAGUGUCUAUCUAUAUCAGUCAUAGCAGCUGUAAGAUUUUCAUUGCCAUUUGCUUAUUUGAAGUCACUCCUUCCUAUCAGCAGCAGCCUGGGCAGUAUGAGCCAAGUGACAGAAACCUGUUAUGUGUUCAGCUACAUGUCAUUCCGUCAGUCUUAGAUGUGCCUUGUACAAAAUACCAAGGAUGCCACCAGUAGCCCUGUAUUAAGUAGAAAGGAAGAAAAAGUCUCCCGACUUGACCCAAAUAAUGUGUCUUUACCAACUCUGUGCCCGAAGGCAUGCUUACUGACUUGGAUUGCAAAUGUUUUACCUGCCUUUCUGGUAAUUUUGCAGCAUUUUAAGCUGAGAUCUGGUAACUACAAAGCAGUGGGAGGCUCCCACCUCAGUGGGAGCUGGAUCAGGACUGAAGUCAGGCAAAUAAGUGCCUGCUACUGAACAUGCCCAAGAGAAAUGUGAGAAAUAGCUUGUUCAUAUUGACUAGAAAGAAAAGACUCUUCCAAAAUGCAUCUAGCAGGGAGGAUAGGCUUCUUGUUUGUUGAAAUCCCGAGUUACAACAGUUGUAGGCAAUCUGCUUUUCUUUCUUAGCCUGAAGGAGCAACAGGAGUUAAAAAAAGAGGUAAUUCACGUAGAGGUUGUUUGGAAAACUAUUCAUUUUAAAGCCUGUUAGAGAAGAAGAAAUGUAAGCUCUGUGUUCCUUACGAUUCACACACCUCAGAGAGACUAAGGGAUGAGGGGGAGAAAGCAAGAGGUAAGAACAGUAAAAAAAGGUAAAGCUUUAACUAUUACCCGUGCUAUAACUGGCUGGGCCAGCUUGCCAUCCCGAGGCCAUUUCCAUUCUCUGACCAUUUCUUCAUCUUCAUUAGUCACCAGACCUCCUUCCUGAUUAAACAUCAUGGUUACAGUGUUGCUGUAAAUAGGCAGAAAUGUGAAACCUGUUUUUCCUGGUGUAUCUCAGGAAAACCUUAAACAAUCCAAGAAUCUUGCUUUGAUCUAGGAGUCUCUAAUUAAAAAGCCGCUUUACAUAGCCACUCCUUCACCCAGCUUUUCUCAUGCUACAGGCUUGUAAGGAAGGUAUAAACCACUGUCCUUUUGCUACAGACAAAAGUUGGGGUUUAAUUCUUGUAUUAAUAAUUCAAAGCAGAAAGAAGCUGGGGUCAAACAGUGUGAUUUCACUGCCCUUUUCACUUACCGCUACAGUCCUGGAAGUUCUAAAACAUUUCAAAUUUGACUGUAAAUUUAAAGGAAGAAACAAAUCAACUAAAAUGGCACAUGGAUGGCAUUAAUGCAUUAGGCUUCAGCUGACAAGUCUCAGGAGGAAUCCUGAGAUUUUAGCUUUGCACUUUAUAUUCCCUAUUAUUUUUGUUUGCUUUUCUGUAAUAUAAAGUUGGCUAGUAUAGGUAAAAUGGGUAGGUGUUAUUUAAAUUCUUUAAUGAGAACUGUUUAAAAUAUAUAUUUUUGGACACCUGGACACUUUUUGUCAACAAGGGCCACCUCCUUCCACUAGCUGUGAGGGCACUGAACUCUCUUCAGUGCUUUUAUACAAGACCUGAAAAAUCCUUGCUCACACAGCUCCAGUAAAACAUUCCUCCUAUCCCAAAAGUUCAGCCAUCAGCCAAUGAUCUUCACUUCCUUACAAAUGAAGGCAGCUGCAAAUCAGCAAGUCCCUCAUUUUUAGCUACUAUUCCUCUCUGCAGAGCAUUAAAUUUUGAUCCCAGAUUUCUUGAGUACUCUGAAGUCACUAAAGGAGCAAAGAAGAGGAGAAUUAGGCGAAGAUCAGGUAACUAAGAAUCAGUGAUAACCUUUGCCCACAUCAUGUACAGGUGCAGAGAACUACAUGGAGAGAUAUAAACAGAUAGCAACAAUAUCCAGAAGAGAACUGCUGAUGAAGUGAUGGAGGAAGAGGAUGACUUCUGACUGUGUGCAACAGCCAUCCACACACACCUCAUGCUAUGUGUUCAAGGCAGCCAGAAGGCUGGCUCUCAUUUGCCCACCGUCUCCUCUGUAUGUGGGAAUUUUCCAGUAAGCCAAAGUGCAUCCUGUCCUCACAGCACUGGUGUCACAAAUUAGGAAUUCUCUUUUCCGAGUGACUUCUGUCUAGCUCAGCAGUUUAGUUAACAGAGUGCUUUUGGGCUGCUUGAACACCUGAUGGCAUUUGACUCUUAGAGGGGAAUCAGAGAGGACAGGUUUCUUCUUCACCUCCAGGAGGCAUGAACAAGUCGGAAGGGGUCUUCUUUUAUCUUUCCACACUUCUGGAUGCUGAUCUUCUCUAAUGUCAGACUCCCUAUGGACUACGAGUCUGUCUGUGCAAGAGUUUGGUUACCUAAAACUAAGCUCAGCUUUCAUUUUUUAGUGAAAAAGGGUAGGUGAAAAACAACCAAAAUAAACCCAACCCACUGUCAGACACCCAGCUGAGUUAUAGAAACUUGUAUUUGUUGUAGAAACAACAUACCACUUUUCUCAUGUCUAUUCUGGUUUUGAACGUUGCUCAGAUCCUUGUAUAGCUUUGUGCUCUCGGCUCUAAUUCGCAGAAUCAAACAACAGCUUGUAGUGCAUCUGCCUACCUGUUAGGAAGAUAGAUGCUGCCAUGUCCAAAAGAGGUGAAAGUUCCACCUAUAGAAUGAUCUGGAGAAGGGCUAAAUAUGUUGGUAUACAUCCCCCUACAUGGGAGAUUGCAGCAGCUCUGGCAAACCGCAAGAUAUUCAGAUGGAUAGCUAAAAUGAGAGUCAAGGAGUUAAGUUAUCAUUCUCUCUCCAACUCUGUAGCUUCUGUUACUUAACCAUGCAGAGAACACAGGGACUAACAUCAUCAGCUCUAAGACAGGGUAUUCAGUCCAUGUGCAUAAGAGAAAGCGAAGCUACCAACCCAGUCAUCUUCUUCCUUGAAUAAGUGGAUUGGGAGUGAUAGAGGAUGAGCAGGCAAAGCUCUCAGCACAAAAUUCACGUUACUGAACUAAUAAAAGAUAGCAGGAAACUCAUGCUGGUACAGGUCAAAAGUGUCCUUUGCAGGAGCAAUGUAUGACUCAGAAGUAGGUUUAUGAGGCAUGGUGUCUUCUGUGGACUUGUAACAGAGCAGACUUGCACAGUUCCUAAUACAUCUUGAUGUUUGUGAUUAUGUUUGUGAUUGAUAAAGUGGUCUUUGUUCACGACAAGGUCAUACUUUAAAUAGUUUGCAGUCUGAUACUGUUAAUUUAAAACUGCAUUGUUCAUUCUGCAGUUUUUUUUGGGUUUUUUUUUUUUUUUUUAUGCCUUUCAACCCACCUGACGCACACUGGGCUUUGCUGUUGUAGACCGACUAUAGAUGUGGUACCAUAUAAAUAGAGUCUGAUAAGAAGCCCAAAGAAUAAAGUCUUGUUCUUUUAUAUGUAGCUGGAUUUUGGAAGCGGUUCAGCUACACGCUGUGUGAUUGUCCUUCGGUAGAAGUCCUCCCCCUGCCUUUCACACACUUACAGGAAUUUAAGUGAGCUUAAGAAAGGAUAUUAAAUGAAGGAUGAGCCAUCAUUCAGUCUGUAGUGCAGUUUUCUCUGUGCUGUGUUUGCUCUCUUGACCACUGGAAUCUGAGGUUUGUCAUAUGGCAGCUUUGAUGUGACAGUCCUGCCAGCCUGAACCUUCCAUGUCCUGGGGAAAGUUUCUCCUCUGUAAUCACCAUAAUGCUGUAGAAUAAUUGGUUUGUCAAACCCAACUUCUUUCAGGUUAAAUGCUUGCUCUUUUCUGUUUACAUGAGGGAGGAAAAAAAAUAUAACUUCGAUUAGUUCUUGCUAAGUGGAAUCCUCAGGCAAGGCUUCUCUUGAUUAAGAAUGAAGUUUGACCUAAGCAGAAAACAUACGGUAGUUUCUCAGCUAUAAAAUAUCACACAUUGCUCUCAUAUACAAAGGAGUCAAAUAAGUUACUCAAGAUCACGCAGGUCACCUGUGGUUAAGCUGGCAAUAGAACUGACUGCACCAAUCCUCCACACCCACACAUAGCAGAGAUCCACUGACAGCAAGGGCCAGUAUCUCUGCUGCAGAUCUGUCCAUCAGUAGGUCACUUUCACCAUCCUGGAUUACAUGCACUCACUGUGUUAUUCUUUUUUUCCUAUUAUUCAUUUCACCUUUCAGAGAAACAACAAUAUUAAAACAGUUUAAAAUUUCCUUUAAGAUUUUCUUCGUAUCUAUUUCAGUCCCUGAUCAUAAGAAAGAAGCACAGAGGCAGAGUUUGAGGCUGGCUGAAUGGCCCCAAAUCUAGCAGACAGCUUGUUAGUCCUGACAGCCUUUGGCUGACGUUCUUUUCAAUUAGACUUUCUAUAUGUACUGUUUUACAUGUGUAUAUGAGUCCAUGCAUGCCUUUUUUUGCUCUUUAAGCAGUUACCAAAAAACCAUGCAGAUCAUCUAGUAGCACUAGACAAAUAAAGCCAUUAAAGAAAAAAAAAGAAAGAGCAAAAAAGCCAGUCAAUUUUGAGGAAAGCUAAUUAUGUAAAACAUUAGCUGAUAGAAAUCAAAGGAACAUUUUUGUCUUCGAUCCAAUAUUUCUUGCUGUUUAAAUUUUGCCAUUAAAUAUUGCUCAGUAUAAAGUUUUUGCUGACUAUGCUAAGCACAGUUAUUCAGGAACACAAAGCCAACUUCCACAGCACUGACACAGAAAUCUGGCAACAGCACUGGAGUACUGCAAGAUGAGGGGCAUCGUUUUACUUCCAACCUAAUGGGCCAAUAGGGUCUGCAAAUGCUGGAAAGGAAACAUGCUCAGAUACUGUGAGAAGGAACACUUUUCUUGUUAGGAGACCCUACCACUAUUUGUGGCAUAAAUGUUGCCUUCAAUUAGAUAAUUAAGUCAACAGACUGCUGAGCUUUUGGGAACAGCGAUAUGGUGGACUCCAGAAUAGUUGUGCCAGAGGUAAGGAAAUGCAUUCUCAGCACCUGCAUGAGCUCUAUCAGUUCUUAACAAUUACACGCUGGCCUAUAUCAAAGCCCACAGUUUGGAAGAGUAAGUAACAGAUACUUACAUUUUAGUGUGUUCUCUAAAAGAGGUAUGUAUAGGACAUGGCAUGUCUUGUGGGUGGGAAGACAACAACGCUCAUUUUAAUGAUCAGAACAUAGACUGUUUCCAGGAUAAGCCACAAGUAUUUUAAUUAAGUAUUUUAUUUAAGCUUAAUUGUCACAUUGCUUUUCUUUUGCUUUGUUUUGCAAUCACAUUAUACAGCUAUUGGAGGCAGACAGAGGUUGGUGAAGCAAAGCCAACUCCAACUUUUGCUCCAAAAGCAAUUAUCCUGGACUUUAGGGUACUCAGUUCCCCAAGGAUUAAAGCAGUGACCAAGACGCAUUCCGGGAAUAAUAUGCAUAUUAUAAUAAAAUAACUAUAUUUUACAAUGUGCUAUAUACAUGGUAGCAUGUACAUUCUUACUGAUAAGUGCCAGUUCUUACACAGCCACUAGCUGCUAAACCUAUUCUCACCAAUUUUCACCUGCAACACAGUGCUGAUUUCACUCAAUCUGAAUAUGUUUUUAAUUUUUUUUUUGCCAGUGUACAGGAACUAUCAUUUAAAUAGUACUACAUAUAACAGCUGAAAUUCAGAUACUGUGCUGUAGAUAAAUUACACAGGUUAACUUUUAGUAACUGUUGCUGUAGGUAAUUAAUGCUUAUAGCUAUCAGAAUAUUUUUUCACUUAAACUUUGCCUCGUUUAUAAAAAGCCAGCACUUCUUCUAAUUUAUCCAGGCAGGGCAGAUCUUAGCUAUUUCAGACAUCUCCUGCUUUCCUUUGAAACUAUCUUAGCAAUAUAGUCAGUAUAAAGAAUGACCGACUAACUUUGAGGCCACCAUACAUUUUUAACAUGUGGCUAACUCUAUGUGAUGAGUCGUCAGGGUUGUAAGUCCAUCUCGUGCUAUGUAAAAACAGAAGGUUUAAGCAUAAACAGCAUGAAGAAGUCUCAUGGCCUGAUUCUGGCCACAUUAUCUUAUGGCAGCCCUCACUCAGGCCCUGACAAGUAAACAGGCUACAGAUCACUGCAUAUUUUCAUAAUACUAAAUAGCCUUAAUGCGCCAUGGUUGCUAUUGCUAAAGAUAUACAGUCAGGUUUUCAUAACCACUGGGAAGUUUAUCUUCAGAUUAAUCAAAAUUAUUGUCUCACCACUAAUCUCUGAAAAUGCUUCUGUUGGGAUAAUUAUUUUCUUCCAUUACCACCAACAGAAAUAAAAGUAUGUUUCCCUUUCAUUAAUAGUGAAGUGCUAAACUGAACUCUAGGAGUUUUCAGAGCAGUAACACUCCCCCAUAUAGUCUGUUGGGUUGGUUAAGUGUUCCACUUCAUAAAAACAUUGCCAUAUACUCUAACUUUGUUUAUGGAGGUAAAAAUCUCAGUUUGUUACAUUUGUUUUUGAACUUGCUCAGGUCUCACCAGGGUCCACACAUAAGGCAGAUUCUGAUGAACGUCUUCAGACUUUGGGUUAGAAAGCUGGAAAAUCAAACCUAGAGAAACAGAAUGAGAGGUUAGAAAUAGAUGCAUAAGUAAAAACUAAUGUUAAUGUUAGCCCUGUUCCCUGUUAUCCUCCUAUGGAAAGUAAGGUUCAUUCAUAUGAAUAUAUUGUGCUGUAGCUUUGAGAAUUGCUUUCUUAAGCAGAUCCUCUACUUUGGAAAAUACAAAAGGAGAAAGAGGUAAUACGUGUUCUGGGUGUCACUGUUCAGUUGGUCUACUGCCAGACAGGUACAGGAUUGCCACUGGAAAGGAUGUAGUGUAAUGCUCCUAUAACAGUGGGAGCUGGUUAUCUCCACCCUUCAGGCAUUCAUUUGUGAUUAAGAAACCUUCAACAGCUGCCUGACUUUACAGUGCACUGGCAGAUCCUCUGGUGGAGUGCCUGGAGAGGAUAGUAUACAAUGUCAAGAUGACCAACGAUCUUGAGAUCACUGAGCAGAAUAAAGAGGCAGCCUGUGGACACAAAAGCCUACGGUGGAAUCAAUAAUCUUGCCAAUUCAGCAGCACAGUGACACCGAGGACAUGCAACACCACAGGAACACAUUUCCAGAUGGUUCGGGUGUGCUGUUCCUUUGUUAUAACCAGAGGAAAUCAGAUGCCACAUUUUUAGGAAACACCACAAGAAGUUGUAAAUCCAUUCUAUUUCAAUAUAUUGGUUUACAAAGCUAUUCUUCCAUGCUAGGAUUGUAAAUGUCUCUGCAGCACUUUCAGCAAUGCACAGACACUAUUUUUUUUUUCACAUGGCAAUGUUCUCAAAGAAAUAAUAGUAAAAAAUAAAAAUAAAAAGGUGCAGAAUAAGCAGUCCUUCCCUUUAGACCAUCAGCAUUGCCCAUACAUUUUAGGCAGAGCUUACAUAAUGCCUUGUGAUGAACGUUUCAGUGGGUGCAUUAGUACUGCCGUUCAGAGGAAGUUAUUAACUCAAACACAAGUGGUCAGACAGUUCCCAGCAGGGAAGGAUUAAAAUAAUAUCCCAAAGCAGUGGUUGGUCCUGCAUUUUGCUAGCACAGAGAAGUGGACUCAUAGUGGCUACGUACGACAGGUAUGGAGACGUUAUUGGCAGAUGACCACAGAUAAUCAGAGGACUGCGUAUUUAAAACCAGAUUGUAGUAAAAAGGCACAGUAUUAUUCCUUGAAAAUUACUCCUUUCUCAUGGUAAGCCAUUCUUUAAUUAAUUCAGGCAUCUGUAACAGUAUGUUCAGUUAGUGUAUCAUUCUAACCACCUCUGCAGAACACUAGCUUUACAGAGCAGCUGCCUGCUUCUCUUACCUUGUUCCUCACAAAUGUUGGAUGAAAGUGAGAAGCUGACUGUGAUGGGUGACUGGUCAGCAUCAUUUUGCACAGCAGGAGCUAAACACAAAGAAAGGAGAAUGCAGUGCUUAGGAACACACAUGGAAAGGUAAGUCUGCUUUUAAAAAUUAUUAUUGAUUUCUUUUUAAAGAGGUGAGAAUUACCUGGAGAACUGUAACAGGCUUCUUCCCAACACUAGGUUCAGCACUUGCAAUCACUGAUACUCGCAGAAUGAAAUGCUUUAGAUGCAAAUCUUCUCUACUGGUGCAAUGUGUUAUGACUCUAUCACUCACCUUGAAAGAGGAGACUAAAAAUGCUUUGCUAAAUGACUUGAAACAUUGCCCAGUUUCACCGGCUUUGUUCUUCUCAAGUGUUUGUACCUCUUGCUUCAGCUGCAAAGCUAUUUCAUCAUGUCCUAAACCAGUGCUUUGCAAAGAACUGCAGUAUAUCCAGUUAUAAGCUGGAGCACAUUGGCCUAUCCAGCCAAUGGUGUAUUCUUAACAGAAAGCACUUUUUUCCUUUUUUUUGGCCAAACGUUACAACACAGCACAUUUGUGCAGCACUGUAUUACCUUCACUUUCUGAAGGUGCGUUUGAUGCUGUCUCAGGAUUUAUUUCUCCCUUUGUAGUGCAGGAUGAUAGAAUAAAGCCUUUCUUGUGUUGUUCUUUUCUGAUGGCAGUGAUUUCAUGCUCCUUACAUUUGGAUGCCAGAGUACUAUUCUUAACCUCCUCUGAGGCCUGGCUUCUCCUGGAUCUCAUGCUUCUGUAUGAUAGCAACUUCUGCUGCUGUUUACAGAAAUCAGCCCUCACAGUGAGUUCCCUCCAGCUGCAGCUUUCAUCUACAACAAAAUAAAUGUUUCCAAUUUAACACUGGAGGAUGUGUGAAGGGGAAGAGGGAAGUAGAACAACGUCCUGGAAAUGGAAGAAAUCACCUGGUCAAAGAAAUAUAUGGGUCCUGCCUCUGGCACUGCAGCUGUAAGUACUGGUUCCAUUAAUCCCAAGAUGAGCAAGGACUGAAAUACUCCAAGGGAAGACCGUUAUGUCAGCAGGCUGUGAGAAAGAAACUGUUCGUUCUUUUCACACUAACAGUGAAGCUGAGUCGGUAUUUUCUGUGUGAGGUAUUGAAAAUCUGCUUCAAAUAUUACACGAAACACUACUGUACAGAUAGGGAUGCAUUCACAUAUCAGAGGACUAAACUAUAGGAAAUCAAUUACAAAACUGAAAACCCGAGUAUCAGUUUUUGUUCAUUUAGAUUCAUAUCAAUCCAAAACAGUGUCUUCAUGAGACACAGCCUACUGUUAUUUUAUAGGACAGAUGUCUCAGUUUGUUUGUUAUAUGAAAAAGAAGAUUGGUUUCAUAUGACUCAGUGACUGUCAUUAAAUAUGCUAUCAUUCAAAAAAGUUUUUUAUGACUCUUUCAUGAAUAUUAAAAGAGGGUUUCAAAGAUACUGCUGUGGCAACCUCUGAUUCUGUGCAACUUUCCAUCAUUCUCUACCAAAACUGCACAAAGGCACAGGGAUCUGUUGGCAGGGCAUCCCUCACUGUAGCACAUUCUAAUACACAUAUCUGCAUACAUGCCUAAUUCACUCCAGCUUUCAAUUACAAGCUUUCAUACAAGCUCCUUAUCACCGAAAUUUAAGGUGUCUUUUUGAAGCACAGGUUCAGGCAUCAGAUUGCUCUGUUUAUGUGAAUCCUGUCAUUUAGAAGUAAUUUUUUUAAAGCGAACUCCAGAAGCAAUUAACUGGCUUACAUAUAUGGGUACAGCAUAUCUCCAUUCAUGCAAGAUGAAGAGCAUUUGCUAGGGCACAGUGUGAGUGUACAAACAAUGUUCUGUGAUUCUCAAGGUAGCUUUAAGACAUUAAAUUUGCUUCUUUUCAGAAGCACUCACUGCAUCCUUUGAAAGCCUGGCCUCCCAAGGACACUGCUGUGACACUAGCUGGUGCAUGCCAGGAUGCUUGAAUUAUGGCUGACUGGCUGUAAUCAAACUGAUGGAAAAAAAAAGGGAAAUCACCAUAGGAUGUGAAAAGAAGUCCACAGUAAACAGUAUUAAAUGAGAAUUAUUCAUCUGCUUUUGUCACCUUAAAAUUUGAACGAAAUAUUUCAUCAAGCUUUUAAGAGAAGGAGUAGUUUCAGAAGAAAGGAUGUCCUUUAUCCUGCUCGUGCCAAGAAAUGGGUGUCCAACCUUUUGGCUUGCCUGGCUGCAUUGAGUGAAGAGGAAUUGUGUAGGGCUGCAUCUAUGAGGGUUGCUCUGAAAGUAAUGCCUCCUAAUUGUUUCCAUGGAAACUACCUCAGAUACAGAGAGCACAAUAACACUACUGAACAGAGAAUAUUCUCAGCUAUAAAACACUCUUUUUCAACGCAGUCACCACCAUUAGUUGUAAAUAAACAAUUAACAAAAUGAACAAAAGCCCGCAUGCUGUGCUCGUAACAAUCUGCACUAGUUGAGGUCACUCACUGUUGCUGUCAUCACUGCUGAAAUGUACCAGCCACCACCUCACUGUGCUCACAUCCAUGGUUUAGUCUCCAGCAAGUGCCAAUGAAUGUCAGUGGGUGCCAUUUUUUCCACAUGAAGGAAUUCAAUUACACACCUUUGCUUCAUAUGCACUUCCAUGUCAGACUUCAUUGUGUCAGACUGUCCCUCUGCUGCCAUCUGUCACACAGCAACAAAACGUAAUGGAAUUGUGGUGGGAAGGUUCAACUUCUGCCAUACCACCAAUGCCCACCUCUGACAUCCUGAGCUGACACCAUAAAGCAGGAGGUAUUACUUUUGGAGCAGCUCUUAUAAUAUUGAUAAUGUAUAUAAGUGACAAAACUUACUUUAAUUUUUAAUGUUCUUCUAUUAAAACAUAUAAAGAAGAGAACAACAAAAACAUAAAACCAGUGGGAUAUGUGACCUUGUUUUUGUGAAACUAACACGUCAGUCUGGUUCAGAGGAAGUAACUGCAAUUCUCAGUGAGUUCUCAAGGUGUCCCUCACAGAUUCUUGGUGAAAUCUGGCUGCUGGCUGGACAUUGCUGUGCUAGGGAAAUCAUUAUCAGGAGACAGCUGUCAUCCCCACAGUAAAUGCUAUGGAUGAUGAUGGCUGAGGAAGUACAACCAUCCUCUGUCUUCAGCAUCCAGUGAGUGGGGAGCAGCUUCUACUGUUUAUAAGAUACAUUUGCUUUCAUAGAGUAGAUGUUUUUCUUUGACUAGAUCCAGCCUUUAGGCCUGAUAUUAAAUAUUGUGUCAGAACGACUGUCCCACCUACCUCAGUGGAUUUUUGGAGCUGAGUCAGGACUAUGAGCUUUGAGCCUAAGCUAGGAAGAAGAGCUGAAGUGUUGUAAACACAUAAUUAAUGGCAUCAUCUCCAGAAGUACAAACAGAAAAACAAGUACAACCUCCUUCUGUUCGGGUUCCUCUUGGAACAGAUGCAGGCCAUGUACUUCAGUCCUCCCUCCUUCCACUCUUUCCAAGAUGAACCUGCAGAUGUCAGAGACAACUUCCCCCCUCCACUCCAUGCCAUUUCCUCACACAUACACAGCUUGAAAACAACAGCAACAACAACAAAUUAAAACAUAACCCACUCUGAAAGAAGCUUUUUCCUGAAGAUCAUAACUUCUUCUGCCAGGAAAAUGGCGCAAUGGGAGCUGCUUCCCUGGAAGAAAAAUAGUAGGAGGUGAGUCUCUGUUGUUUUUCCAGACAGCGUCUCAAGUCCUGCUGCUUAGUUACCAUGUGUUUUGGACUCAGCCCUUCCCUUAGCUCCCCAGCCAGUGCCUGCCUGCGUGAGGCAGGUGAUUAAGAACAACCAACAGCCACUGUAAGAAAGCGGAAAAAAACAGUAUGGCUCUCCAGCUAAGGGUAGUUUUCAUGCAUCACUUCUGCCUACUACCUGUUUGAUGCUGUCAUCCCAUCAUGCUGUUUGGUAGGGUAUGAAAUGGGAAAAUGUAGCAUCCAUUAAUAUAAAGCGUAACAAAUGUUAGGAACAGUUUACUGGCAGUAAUGCAAGGGCAAAGCUUUCCGAGCUGGUAAGGACAUGCUGCAAGAUGUAUGGUGCUCUCUCCCUGCUUCUGAGAGACCAG